AACGAACGCUGGCGGCAGGCUUAACACAUGCAAGUCGAACGCCCCGCAAGGGGAGUGGCAGACGGGUGAGUAACGCGUGGGAAUCUACCCAGAUCUACGGAACAACAGUUGGAAACGACUGCUAAUACCGUAUACGCCCUACGGGGGAAAGAUUUAUCGGAUUUGGAUGAGCCCGCGGUGGAUUAGCUAGUUGGUGGGGUAAUGGCCUACCAAGGCGACGAUCCAUAACUGGUCUGAGAGGAUGAUCAGCCACACUGGGACUGAGACACGGCCCAGACUCCUACGGGAGGCAGCAGUGGGGAAUAUUGGACAAUGGGCGCAAGCCUGAUCCAGCCAUGCCGCGUGAGUGAUGAAGGCCUUAGGGUUGUAAAGCUCUUUCACCGAUGAAGAUAAUGACGGUAGUCGGAGAAGAAGCCCCGGCUAACUUCGUGCCAGCCGCCGCCGUAAGAC
rnacentral:rRNA from 1 species